GGGAACCCCUGAGAAGCCACAGACCAUCCCGGCUCCAGCCCGCAGCAGCCUCAGACCCAAACACCCUGAGUGGGGCUGAGCCCUCUCCACGUCCCGCCGGCCUCCCUGCCCCCUCUCUUGGCUGCCAGUCCACGGAAGCAUUUGACUUUCUAAUUCUCCCCUCCUUGCAACAAAAAGCUAAAUGUUCCCCAGGCACUUGGCCUGCUUCCUGUACCCAAGAGAGGAGAGCCAUGGCCAGAGAAGGAGGGCAGCGAGAAGCCAGGGCUAGCAGGAUCUCAGAGCAGCUGUCUUGUACACCUUCGGGCCUUCUACUCGAGCACCGAUAUCCUCCAUCUUCCUGCUCAUACAUGGCAAGAGACAUUAAAUGUCCUUCUUGCUCAGUGUCACAGUUUGGGUCCUUAACUGCUUUGCAAGGAUCCUGGUACGAGAUGCACAGCUGCUGGUUUAGCCCCUAUUGCCCUAAGUAUCAAAGGAAAUGUUAAAAGCUGAGAAGAUCAACGCCAAAGCUGAAGAGGUCCAUAGGAAGGCUGUGGAACGAGCUCCAGAAUGUCCAGUCUCUCCACCACCACUCUGCAGUAUGGCAGGCAAAAGGAGCCAACACGCAGGGGACACUGCUCCCCAGAUGGAAAUCUCUUGCAACAAGUCAUUCCACACCCCUCCAGGGCCGCCCUGUGACAACGCCUUGUGCAAACAACACUCCAGUGGCUGUUUCUACACUGGGAUGAUAGUGGUUGGGGGUUGGGGAUUGGGGUUUUGGGCCACACACACCCCCAAAAACAACUAGACAAAACGGCUUCUUUUUAUUCAAAUCGUGCUUUGUGAAAAUUCUCCCCAGCUGUUCCCAGCACAUUCGUGGAAGCUACAAUAUGCAGAUAUUUUUGUCUGCUUGAUUCACUGAUAGAUCCCCAGGAACCAGAACAGUCCUGGCUCCGAGCAGGUGCUCCAUGAAUUCUCGAAGCCGCAGUUUCCUCAUCUGCAAAAGGCAGCUGGCAUGUGAAGUCCGGGGCACCCUGCGGGACGUUCAGAAGGGUGACGCACGUGAUCAAGUUUUCUUCAGAGACACUUCAAGGAAGGUUUUUCUACACCCAAACCCACAGAGGCUCAUUUUUUCUAUCCUAUUCAUGACCUCCGGUUGCCCAGUGGUUAGGUCCAGGAACCUUGGUUACCUCCUUCUAGACAAGGAGACACUGGGCAAGUUGUAUUCUGGAACGUAAAACCUUAGCCGCAAGGAAGAACCUAGAAGUUCCUCUGUGAUGUGGUAAGGCUGAAACUCAACAGAUUUCUGCCAGAGUGUAAGGAGCCUCCCCUGCCAACUCUUUAAAAUGCAAAGAUGCAAAGGGCCAGGAUGUCAGGAGACAGGAUGCUCCGAGCUGGACCGGCCUUUGCAUAAAGCAAAGUUGAGAGUGCCAUGCUCUCUCUCACCUCCGGGCCCCUGCCCCAGUGGUCCCCUUUGUCUGGUUAACUCUCCCUAACCACCCCUACUACCCCCAUCCCUGGUGUCUGAUAUUUGAAUACAACCUGCACACGCACACACACACACACACACACACACACACACACACACAGACACACUUCAUUACAGCUUAUGAUACUUCCCUAAUUCCAUACUAGACUUGAGCUCCAUGAAUACAGGGACCAUGACCUGUUCACUAUUAUAUCCCCUACUCCAAGCAUACUGCCUGGCACAGAGCGGAGAACCAGAAAAGUUUUG